AAUUUGAAAGUGUGUUUGUUUGUUGGUUUGUCCUUCAGUCACGCUGCAGAUGAGCAACGGAUCGGUGUGAUUUUUUGCAUGUAUAUAAUUA